UACGUAGGGUGCAAGCGUUAAUCGGAAUUACUGGGCGUAAAGCGUGCGCAGGCGGCUGUGCAAGACCGAUGUGAAAUCCCCGGGCUUAACCUGGGAAUGGCAUUGGUGACUGCACGGCUAGAGUGUGUCAGAGGGGGGUAGAAUUCCACGUGUAGCAGUGAAAUGCGUAGAGAUGUGGAGGAAUACCGAUGGCGAAGGCAGCCCCCUGGGAUAACACUGACGCUCAUGCACGAAAGCGUGGGGAGCAAACAGG
rnacentral:rRNA from 1 species